UGCGUAGGGGGCGAGCGUUGUCCGAAGUUACUGGGCGUAAAGCGCGCGUAGGCGGUCUCUUAAGUCUGGUGUGAAAGGUUCAGGGCUCAACCCGAAGAGUGCACUGGAUACUGGGAGACUUGAGUUUGGGAGAGGAGAGUGGAAUUCCUGGUGUAGCGGUGAAAUGCGUAGAUAUCAGGAGGAACACCGAUGGCGAAGGCAGCUCUCUGGCCCAAAACUGACGCUGAGGUGCGAAAGCGUGGGGAGCGAACGGG
rnacentral:rRNA from 1 species